ACCAAGUAGAAGGGGCAGAAGAUGGUACCCCACAGGCUGAGUGCCAGCAGUAAACCAUGGUGACUAUGAAGAAUCUGAGAUGAUGAGGCAGAGUGUGAGUUCAGACAAUUGAGCUGAGGAAGCAGCAUUGUCAACAGCGUUCCUCCUCUCAAGGGUGAUGGUACCUGUGGGAAGAUGGAGGAAUGACAGGAGAGAAAUGUAAUGGAUCCUCACAGAAAUAUCCCUGAGACAAUUCUAGCUGCUUUCCCAAAGCUAAGUGCUUCCAAGGAUGUUUGCACAUAGGUUGGCAAAGAACAAGGAUGGGUCAGGCUGGGAGAGAACUGAGGUCUGGAUGACCUGGGAUUCCCAGAAUGAGGUGGGUGAGGACUCUGUGACCUCACAAUAGAACCCUGCCCUAGUAAUGCCAGGGUCUUACCUGAGGACAAGCCAGAGUCCAGAAGGAGGGCUUGAAUCACAGCAAGUGCAUGUGACUGGGUGACAGCUGCUGAGGCAGAGCCAGCACCUGCCUUGGAACUCCAGUUUCCAAACAAUGACAGGAUGAAGCUCUGCUGUUAUGCUGGUCUCCAGAGUGACAUUCUCAGAAGUCAUUGACUAUAUCAAGGCAGAGCCAGAACUGCUGAAAAUAGACGAAGACUUAGUCAAAGAUUUGGGCAAGCAUGGGCUGGAAAGGAUCGACUACCUCCACCCUAAUAUUAAACAGGUACCCUGAUCCUGAAAAAGGCUGGACCCCAAAUCAGAAGACAUGGGGACCCAAGGAAUUCCCUGACCCUAAAGAAGCAUGGGUCCGUUAGAGAGGAAACAUAGGCCUGGGCCAAUCAAAUGAAAGAAGCCAGGGCCAUACCAAGAAAAUGGGUGUGCCCAGGCCAAUCCUGACCCUGAAAAAGCCCAGGCCCAAAGCAUGAAGAGAU